UGUUACCAAUUUGUGAUAAAA
rnacentral:piRNA from 1 species